rnacentral:sRNA from 1 species
UCCUCAGAGACCCCCGCUCCGGGGAGCCUCUGGACCGCGCACUGGUACUCUGGUUCCCAGGUCCCCAGAGUUUCACUGGUGAGGACUGCGUGGAGUUCCACGUGCAUGGAGGCCCGGCAGUGGUGAGCGGCGUCCUGCAGGCCUUGGGCAGCGUGCCAGGGCUUCGACCGGCGGAGGCAGGCGAGUUCACCAGGCGGGCGUUCGCCAAUGGGAAGCUGAACCUGACCGAAGUGGAGGGGCUGGCGGACCUUAUCCACGCAGAAACCGAGGCGCAGCGGCGGCAGGCCCUCAGGCAGCUGGACGGGGAGCUGGGCCACCUCUGCCGUGGCUGGGCCGAGACCCUCACCAAAGCUCUUGCCCACGUGGAGGCCUAUAUCGAUUUCGGCGAGGAUGACAACCUGGAGGAGGGGGUCCUGGAGCAAGGUGGGUCUACCUGCUGGUGGGGGAGGAAGACACCUCGUAUCAGCCCUCAAAGGCUCCCCUCACUGUUUCUCUCUGCCUGCCUUCUCUCACCCACAGCCGACAUCGAAGUACGGGCACU